GAAUCAUUCUUCUCCUCUUGCCGCUCCCUUUUGUCUUCUUCAGCCCAUGCCUCCGGUUUCAGAAAUUAGUUUGUUUAUUCUUCUAGCUUUGAGGAAUAGAUAGACAUAUCCCUCCAACGAGCCUUUGACAGAGGUGCCAAUCAGCACAGCCUGAAAGGGAACAAGGAGGGAUGGAAGACUCAGAGGGAGGAAAAGGAAACAUGGGAAAAAAAGGUUAUCGGGACAGGUAAAACUAUCUGUGGCUACAGAGUGAGAUAUUUGACAUUUGAAAAAAGGCUAAGCAGAGAGUGGGAGCUGUCUAAAACUUUGUUGACCAGAUCAUCUCAGAAGAGUUUGGCAGAGCCAAGAAGUAAAAACUUGUAGAGACAUGGGUGAGUCAUUGAGUACAAAGGGGGAAAGGCAAGCAGAGUAAGGGGUGAGGAGAGGAACAAGGAUGGUUGCCCUUUCUCCUAAACCCCAGAUGUGUUAUAUGGUUUGCAGAAAGGGACAUAAUUAUUUUCCUCCCUGAACUCAUGACCCUUUGCAAUGUAAUUUUGCAGCUCCUCCCAUGAAGAGAUGGUGCCUGUUUUCCUGCCCCUUGUAUUGACUAGACUUGUGACUUGUUUGGCCAACAGCAUCCAAGGGAAGUACAUUCCGUCAGUUUUGAGCUUGGGCCUCAAGAGGCCUUGCACACUUCUGCUCUAACUCUUAAAACACUGUGGAGCUCCUUAAGGAAAAGUCUAGGCCAGCCUCCUGGAUGAUGAUGGCCCCAGAGCUUCUGCUGACAGCCAGUCAACCCCAGACAUAAAGGCAUCUAGCUAAGACACAGCAUGAAUGAGCUCAGCCAAGAACAGAAAGACAACUCAGCUGAACCAAGCCCAAACUGCUGACCAGUCCACAGAACUGUGAACUAAAUAAAUGGCUACUGUUUUAAGC
rnacentral:lncRNA from 1 species